GUCCUUUACUGCCCCCACCAAGUGUCACCAGUGCACGUCUCUGAUGGUGGGUUUGAUAAGACAAGGCUGCGUCUGUGACGCCUGUGGGUUCUCAUGUCACACAACCUGUGUAGAAAAAGCUCCAAGAGCUUGUCCAGUGCCUUUUCAGCAGAAGAAAGGCGCCCUCUGUCUAGACUUACAGAAAGGCAUGGGAACAGCCUAUGAAGGCCACGUCUGGAUCCCCAAAAAAACAGGAGUGGAAAAAGGAUGGCAGAGAGCACUGGCUAUAGCUUGUGACUUCAAACUCUUCCUGUAUGACGUGGA